AUUGAACGCUGGCGGCAUGCCUUACACAUGCAAGUCGAACGGUAACAGGUUAAGCUGACGAGUGGCGAACGGGUGAGUAAUGUAUCGGAACGUGCCCAGUCGUGGGGGAUAACUGCUCGAAAGAGCAGCUAAUACCGCAUACGACCUGAGGGUGAAAGCGGGGGAUCGCAAGACCUCGCGCGAUUGGAGCGGCCGAUAUCAGAUUAGGUAGUUGGUGAGGUAAAGGCUCACCAAGCCGACGAUCUGUAGCUGGUCUGAGAGGACGACCAGCCACACUGGGACUGAGACACGGCCCAGACUCCUACGGGAGGCAGCAGUGGGGAAUUUUGGACAAUGGGCGCAAGCCCGAUCCAGCCAUGCCGCGUGCGGGAAGAAGGCCUUCGGGUUGUAAACCGCUUUUGUCAGGGAAGAAAAGGUUCUGGCUAAUACCUGGGACUCAUGACGGUACCUGAAGAAUAAGCACCGGCUAACUACGUG
rnacentral:rRNA from 1 species